rnacentral:lncRNA from 10 species
GACAACUGCCUGGGUGCUCAGAGGGCUCUGCGAAGGCGGUGAGAAUACAUUCCCUCGAUGAGCUCGUGUCCCCUGCCAGCUUCUGUGCAGGAUGCUGCACACGCAUUACCUCAUUUGACCCCUGACACAACCCCACGGGGUAGAUUCACCAUCCCCAUUUUACAGAUAAAGAAACUGAGGCUCAGAGAGGCGAUGCAACUUACCUGAGACUCAGCAACGACAGAAUUUGCACCCAGAUCUCUAAGACUCCAAGGUCAGUGUUCCGAGACAGUGAGAAGGUGCAUCUCCAAUUAGGAACCCUCCAGUCCUCACCAGACACUGGAUCUGCUGAUGUCUUCAUUGUGGACUUCUCAGCCCCCAGACCUGAGCACCUUCUUAAUAAUCCUGCAAGGAGCCCUCGUCCCUGCAUUCUCCUGGAGGAACUGACCUAAGACAGGGAGCUUCUGUGAAAAAAUAUUUUCCCUGACAAAAUGAAGGAGGCUUCGUGAGCAGUUCUGCUCACACACUUUGUCAGGAGGAGGGAUGUGUGGGUCCUGGCAGCCAUCUCAUGGUCAUGACCAACGGCAUCACUGUCCCUGAGGGGAUAGCAGGGAAGGAAUGGAAGGCUCUGCAUCAGGAAUGGAAGGCUCUGCAUCCUUAAUCAAGCUGCUGAUCCCUGGGCCCAUCCUGGAAGCACCCAGCUUCAGGUGUCUUCUGAAGGGAGAAUAAUAAUCUCCUGUUACUCAGUCCAAUUUCAUCAUAUGUUCUGUUACUUGCUGCUAUAAGCACCCCCAGCUGACUCCACUGGAAUGUGGUGGCAUCAAGCUCCAAGUCCAGGAAGACAUAGGGUAUACCUAGGUGCACUGAGCUGCAGACUCAUGACAGGGUGAUGGAUCCAGUCAGCCCCAUCAGCACAGAGGGUUCUACUUGGCUCAAGAAUGCGAUGCCCUGCCUCAGGCUGAUGUUGCUUUCAUUAUUGCCAGAGACAACCAGACCAUCAGUCUGACCAAGUAAAGGCAAAAAUACAUCAAAACACCAACCCCUUCCCCUCAAAUUUGGUCUGCAAAGCUCUGAAAGUUUACCGUGAAUGCAGCUCCUUUCUGAAAACUGGACAACUAUAGACAGCAUCCCUACUCCCUUCCUCCCCAUCUGUCAGGAUGAGCAAACAGAGAAAAAAAUAGCCAGUUAUACAACAAAACCCAGAAGUUCACAAGACAGGAACUGAUCUGAGAACAGGAGAGAAUAUAGCUUGAUGAAACAGGCUUGCUGCAAGAAACAGGAGAAAAUAUUACAAAAAUCCUUUCAUUGUAAUUCACAUAAGAUUCUCAACAUCAUCAGGCCUAUGAAAGGAGAGCAAUGCUAUGGACUGAAUUUUGCCCCCUCCCCAAAAUUCCUAUGGUGAAGCUCAGUGCAAUGGUGUUUGAAGACAGAGUCUUUGGAAGGUGAUUGGGGUUGGAUUAGGUCAUCAGAAUGGAGGACUCGUGAUGGGAUUAGUGUCCUUAAGAAAGGAGGAAGAGAGAGCUCUCCACAUGCAUGCUCCUGGGAAAGCACACAGUGAGAAGGCAGCCGUCUGCAAGCCAGGAAGAUAGCCCUGACCAGAACUCGGCCAGGCUGGCACUCUGAACUUGGACUUCCAGCCUCCAGAACUGUAAGAAAAUACAUUUUUGCUAUUUAAGCCACCCAGUUCACGGUAUUUUGUUAUGGCAUCCCAAGCAGACUAACAAGCAGGAAGUCUUGAAAACAACAUAGGCUGAAGUUCAGAAAGACUGCUUGGAGAAGGGACACACAAUUGUCAAGUGAGGUGAAAAGAAAACCUCAGGAAAGACAGUGAGCAUAAAAUUGACAGCACACAGAUGCUGGCAUCUGUGUUUAAAAAGUAACUUGAUACUGUUUCUGGAACUCAAAGGAAAAGGAGAAAGGAAUUAAAGUAAUCAGAUAAAUGUCGGGCACAGUGGCUCACACCUGUAAUCCCAGCACUUUGGGAGGCCAAGAUGGGUGAAUCGCUUGAGCCCAGGAGUUCAAGACCAGUCUGGGCAACAUGGUGAAACACCAUCUCUACAAAAAAUACAAAAAUUAGCCGGUGUGGUGGCACGCACCUGUAGUCCAAGCUACCUGGGCAGCUGAGGUGGAAGGAUCACUUGAGCCCAGAGGAUUGGGCUGCAGUGAGCUCUGACUGCACCACUGCACUCCAGCCUGAGCAACAGGGCAAAACUCUGUGUCAAAAGAAAAAACUCCAGAAAAAAGUGGGCAAAAGACAUGAACUGGCAAUUUAUGGAUGAAAGAUAUACACAUGCCAAUAUGCCUAAGAAGAAAGUUCAACCUUACCUGUAAUUAAAAAUAUAAAAUAAAACAACAGGACCCGUUGGUUUCUGAAUAUCAAAUUUCAAAGCUAAGAGAAGAAUGAUGCCCAGCGUUGAACAGAAUGUGGGAAGCAGUCUCUCUCCUACACUAGUGAUGGGGAUAAAUUGGUGCAUUUCCACAAAGCAAGAUGCAGAGCAAAGACUUUAGAAUUUUGUGUAAUUUUUGUCCCAGCAAUUUCACUUCUAAGAAUAUUUUCUUGGGUGGGCAUAAAGAGUUACCUGUACAAGUUUUCUUUUUUUUCUUAUGGGAAUGUUAAUAAUAAAGAAAAA